rnacentral:misc_RNA from 1 species
UCGAAACUCAAAGUCGCUGAGACCUUCUUUGAACAGAUCGAUCAGCAAGCGGCGGAGUCGUUGAAGAAGAACGAGAAUCCAUCGCGAUCUGAGGAUAAAAAAUUUCAUGUACCUACAAAAACGGGAGGAGUAGGUGCUGGUGCUGGUGCUGGUGCUGGUGCUGGUGGAACGGUGUCGUUGAAGGACCAGUUGAAAAAGAAAACAACUCAUGAAACGAUCAAUAGUAAUGGCC